GAUGAACGCUGGCGGCGUGCCUAAUACAUGCAAGUCGAGCGAACAGACGAGGAGCUUGCUCCUCUGACGUUAGCGGCGGACGGGUGAGUAACACGUGGAUAACCUACCUAUAAGACUGGGAUAACUUCGGGAAACCGGAGCUAAUACCGGAUAAUAUAUUGAACCGCAUGGUUCAAUAGUGAAAGACGGUUUUGCUGUCACUUAUAGAUGGAUCCGCGCCGCAUUAGCUAGUUGGUAAGGUAAAGGCUUACCAAGGCAACGAUGCGUAGCCGACCUGAGAGGGUGAUCGGCCACACUGGAACUGAGACACGGUCCAGACUCCUACGGGAGGCAGCAGUAGGGAAUCUUCCGCAAUGGGCGAAAGCCUGACGGAGCAACGCCGCGUGAGUGAUGAAGGUCUUCGGAUCGUAAAACUCUGUUAUUAGGGAAGAACAAAUGUGUAAGUAACUAUGCCCGUCUUGACGGUACCUAAUCAGAAAGCCACGGCUAACUACGUG
rnacentral:rRNA from 1 species